rnacentral:rRNA from 1 species
GAGUUUGAUCGUGGCUCAGAUUGAACGCUGGCGGCAUGCCUUACACAUGCAAGUCGAACGGCAGCACGGGAGCUUGCUCCUGGUGGCGAGUGGCGAACGGGUGAGUAAUGCAUCGGAACGUAUCCUGGAGUGGGGGAUAACGUAGCGAAAGUUACGCUAAUACCGCAUAUUCUGUGAGCAGGAAAGCGGGGGACCUUCGGGCCUCGCGCUCUUGGAGCGGCCGAUGUCGGAUUAGCUAGUUGGUGAGGUAAAGGCUCACCAAGGCGACGAUCCGUAGCAGGUCUGAGAGGAUGAUCUGCCACACUGGAACUGAGACACGGUCCAGACU